rnacentral:rRNA from 1 species
UGGCUGCGGUCUAAGUUCCUUGGAACAGGACGUCACAGAGGGUGAGAAUCCCGUACGUGGUCGACAGUCUUCACCGUGUAAAGCCCCUUCGACGAGUCGAGUUGUUUGGGAAUGCAGCUCUAAAUGGGAGGUAAAUUUCUUCUAAAGCUAAAUAUUGGCCAGAGACCGAUAGCGCACAAGUAGAGUGAUCGAAAGAUGAAAAGCACUUUGGAAAGAGAGUCAAAAAGCACGUGAAAUUGUUGAAAGGGAAGCGCUUGCAAUCAGACUUGCCUGUAGUUGCUCAUCUGGACUCUUGUCCGGUGCACUCUUCUGCGGGCAGGCCAGCAUCAGUUCAGGCGGCUGGAUAAAGGCCUCUAUCACGUAUCUUCCUUCGGGAUGACCUUAUAGGGGAGGUGUAAUGCAGCCAGCCUGGAUUGAGGUCCGCGCAUCUGCUAGGAUGCUGGCGUAAUGAUUGUAAGCGGCCCGUCUUGAAACACGGACCAAGGAGUCUAACAUCUAUGCGAGUGUUUGGGUGUCAAGCCCGGACGCGCAAUGAAAGUGAACGGAGGUGGGAACCCUCACGGGUGCACCAUCGACCGAUCCUGAUGUCUUCGGAUGGAUUUGAGUAAGAGCAUAGCUGUUGGGACCCGAAAGAUGGUGAACUAUGCCUGAAUAGGGUGAAGCCAGAGGAAACUCUGG